rnacentral:rRNA from 1 species
GGUUAAUUCGACGCAACGCGAAGAACCUUACCAGGGCUUGACAUCCCCUGACCGCGUAUGAAAGUACGUUUUCACCCUCGGGUGACAGGGAGACAGGUGGUGCAUGGUUGUCGUCAGCUCGUGUCGUGAGAUGUUGGGUUAAAGUCCCGCAACGAGCGCAAUCCUCGUGGUAUGUUGCCAGCAGUUCGGCUGGGCACUCAUACCAGACUGCCGCAGCAAUGUGGAGGAAGGUGGGGAUGACGUCAAGUCAGCAUGCCCCGUACGCCCUGGGCUACACACAUACUACAAUGCAGAGUGCAGACGGAUGCCAAGCCGUGAGGUGGAGCUAAUCCGCGAAGGCUCUGCUCAGUGCAGAUUGCAGGCUGCAACUCGCCUGCAUGAAGGCGGAAUCGCUAGUAACCGUCGGUCAGCAUUACGACGGUGAAUACGUUCCCGGGCCUU